ensembl:ncRNA Y67D8C.19 ncRNA
UGAGUCUGCCUUCGUCUGCCUGCCUGCCUCAAAGGACAGGCUGGUUACCCUUCGAAGCAGGCAGGCAGAUCUAUAUCUAACCUACGCGCCUAACCUACGCGCCUAUGCUUGCCUACCUACAUCCAAUGCAACCAUCCAAUGCGAUUUAUU